rnacentral:tRNA from 1 species
GCCGGGGUGGCGAAACUGGUAGACGCGCUGGAUUCAAAAUCCAGUUGGGGCAACUCAGUGCCGGUUCGAUUCCGGCCCUCGGUACCA